rnacentral:rRNA from 1 species
AGUGAACGCUGGCGGUAGGCCUAACACAUGCAAGUCGAACGGCAGCACAGUAAGAGCUUGCUCUUACGGGUGGCGAGUGGCGGACGGGUGAGGAAUACAUCGGAAUCUACUUUUUCGUGGGGGAUAACGUAGGGAAACUUACGCUAAUACCGCAUACGACCUACGGGUGAGAGCAGGGGAUCUUCGGACCUUGCGCGAUUGAAUGAGCCGAUGUCGGAUUAGCUAGUUGGCGGGGUAAAGGCCCACCAAGGCGACGAUCCGUAGCUGGUCUGAGAGGAUGAUCAGCCACACUGGAACUGAGACACGGUCCAGACUCCUACGAGAGGCAGCAGUGGGGAAUAUUGGACAAUGGGCGCAAGCCUGAUCCAGCCAUACCGCGUGGGUGAAGGAGGCCUUCGGGUUGUAAAGCCCUUUUGUUGGGAAAGAAAAGCAGCAGGUUGAUACCCCGCUGUUCUGACGGUACCCAAAGAAUAAGCACCGGCUAACUUCGUG